rnacentral:rRNA from 1 species
UACGUAGGGUGCGAGCGUUGUCCGGAAUUACUGGGCGUAAAGAGCUCGUAGGUGGUUUGUCGCGUUGUUCGUGAAAACUCACAGCUUAACUGUGGGCGUGCGGGCGAUACGGGCAGACUGGAGUACUGCAGGGGAGACUGGAAUUCCUGGUGUAGCGGUGGAAUGCGCAGAUAUCAGGAGGAACACCGGUGGCGAAGGCGGGUCUCUGGGCCUGUCCUGACGCUCAGGCGCGAAAGCGUGGGGAGCAAACAGG